rnacentral:rRNA from 1 species
GCUCCAGCUUGCUGGAGUACUCGAGUGGCGAACGGGUGAGUAACACGUGGGUAAUCUGCCCUGCACUCUGGGAUAAGCCUGGGAAACUGGGUCUAAUACUGGAUAUGACCUUUCUCCUUAUGGGGUUUGGUGGAAAGUUUUUCGGUGUAGGAUGAGCCCGCGGCCUAUCAGCUUGUUGGUGGGGUGAUGGCCUACCAAGGCGACGACGGGUAGCCGGCCUGAGAGGGUGAUCGGCCACAUUGGGACUGAGAUACGGCCCAGACUCCUACGGGAGGCAGCAGUGGGGAAUAUUGCACAAUGGGCGGAAGCCUGAUGCAGCGACGCCGCGUGAGGGAUGACGGCCUUCGGGUUGUAAACCUCUUUCAGCAGGGACGAAGCGUAAGUGACGGUACCUGCAGAAGAAGCACCGGCUAACUACGUGCCAGCAGCCGCGGUAAUACGUAGGGUGCGAGCGUUGUCCGGAAUUACUGGGCGUAAAGAGCUCGUAGGCGGUUUGUCACGUCGUCUGUGAAAUCCUAGGGCUUAACCCUGGACGUGCAGGCGAUACGGGCUGACUUGAGUACUACAGGGGAGACUGGAAUUUCUGGUGUAGCGGUGGAAUGCACAGAUAUCAGGAAGAACACCGAUGGCGAAGGCAGGUCUCUGGGUAGUAACUGACGCUGAGGAGCGAAAGCAUGGGUAGCGAACAGGAUUAGAUACCCUGGUAGUCCAUGCCGUAAACGGUGGGCGCUAGGUGUGGGGUUCCUUCCACGGGCUCCGCGCCGUAGCUAACGCAUUAAGCGCCCCGCCUGGGGAGUACGGCCGCAAGGCUAAAACWCAAAGAAAUUG